rnacentral:rRNA from 1 species
ACGGCUCAGUAACACGUGGUCAACAUACCCAGAGGACGUGGAUAACCUCGGGAAACUGAGGAUAAACCGCGAUAGACCAUAAUGUCUGGAAUGAUUUAUGGUUCAAAUCUACAUGGCCUCUGGAUUGGACUGCGGCCGAUCAGGCUGUUGGUGAGGUAAUGGCCCACCAAACCUGAAACCGGUACGGGCUCUGAGAGGAGAAGCCCGGAGAUGGGCACUGAGACAAGGGCCCAGGCCCUAUGGGGCGCAGCAGGCGCGAAAUCUUUGCAAUAGGCGAAAGCCUGACAAGGUUACUCUGAGUGAUCUCCGCUAAGGAAAUCUUUUGACACCUCUAAAAAUGGUGUAGAAUAAGGGGUGGGCAAGCCUGGUGUCAGCCGCCGCGGUAAUACCAGCACCCCGAGUGGUCGGGACGAUUAUUGGGCCUAAAGCAUCCGUAGCCGGUUCCUUAAGUCCUCCGUUAAAUCCACCUGCUUAACAGAUGGGCUGCGGAGGAUACUAUAGAGCUAGGAGGCGGGAGAGGCAAGCGGUACUCAGUGGGUAGGGGUAAAAUCCGUUGAUCCAUUGAAGACCACCAGUGGCGAAGGCGGCUUGCCAGAACGCGCUCGACGGUGAGGGAUGAAAGCUGGGGGAGCAAACCGGAUUAGAUACCCGGGUAGUCCCAGCUGUAAACGAUGCAGACUCGGUGAUGAACAGGCUUCGUGCCUGUUCAGUGCCGCAGGGAAGCCGUUAAGUCUGCCGCCUGGGGAGUACGGUCGCAAGACUGAAACUUAAAGGAAUUGGCGGGGGAG